CAAGGGACUUGAACGACUUGAGUGCCCAUGGGGAAAUCCAUGGCGUAGAACUGCUCAAAUUCGGGGAAACCGGUUACAGGCAAUCCCGAGCCAAGCCCCAGGCAUGAAUUCGCCUUGGGAAGGUGUAGAGACUAGACGGGCAGCACCUAAGGCGCGAACGCUACGGUGAAGGUAUAGUCCAGACCCCAAACGCG
rnacentral:ncRNA from 1 species